CACCGUGUUUCUUUAACUAGUAAUAGGUUAAAGAUAAGAAGUCUUCUCUCUGAAUCAAGAACAUUAUGUAUUUGUUUUCCUAUUAUUCCCUCUUGGUUAAAUCUAGUAUGAACUUGUGCAGCCCUACCCUAAACAUUGGGAUUAGGGCUUUUAGUGGCGUAACUGAAAUAGAAAGCAUGAGCUAAAGCCUGUACCCAUUGAUUCUUAUUGGAAGCAUGUUACUCAACGAAUUCAAACGAGAGUUUCGUUGGAGGGAUCAACAUCUGUCUUCUCUCUCAUCGAUCUGCAUUACAUGCCAUCAAUUUCAAUGCGAUGCCUUGUGCGGCCUUCUCUCACUCACCACAUGCCAAUCCUCCCCCAUUGCAUUCUAACCUCAAAUGCAUCAAGUACAAAACCCAUGGAAGCUAAACUCAUCUCAGAAACUCCAUGUUAUUGCACAAAUCUUGCGUUAGCAAUAGCAUUUAUAGUUGACUUAAAUGCUACAUCCCUUUCCUUGGAUGAAAUCAAAUAUGAGAGAAUGCAAGCAGUAGCUGAAUUUUCAGCAAAGUAACACAACGAACAACGAAGGUGGGGGAGGCGAGUGCACUCCAUGAAAGAAAAUGUAUGACAAACUUGAAACGGAAGGUGUGCCACUUGAAUCAAAUUGCUUCCCAUAUCUGGAUAGACAAGAACCGACAGUUGCCAAAGACGUGGACAGAUGAAGUCUGUACAAAUGCUCACUCGCACAAGCCUGGGUGAAUCGGCUGCCUAUAAAAUUAAGAGGGCCACCCGUCAUCAUCAAAUCAAAGUAACAGAAAAUCUGCAUGUUCAGUAGCGCCAUUGAAUUAAACAAAGUACCGAUGAACAACCGACCACACCUAGAUGAAUGGUGUGAAAUUGAUCGUAGUAUCAUCUUAGAAGCAACUCAAGCAAAAAAAAAAGGAGAAGAUAUUAUAGUAAAGGUAUUUGUUUAAUUUUUAUCCUUAACAAUAUGAUUUAUUUAUUUAUUUUAUUUAAGUUAAUUAGAAUGGCAUUGAGUGACAAAUUGGGGCUCACCAACGACUCGG